UUUAGAAAACUAAAGUGUUUUCAGAAGAAAGAUUUUGAGUAUCUUGAAGAUAUAGGAAUGGUACUGGAGCAUCUUAACAUGACCAUAUCCAUGAAAUGGGCUUUUUCUGAUUAUGCACUAAGUUGUUGAAGAUAUUUUCAGGAACACACAUUGUCUCAGACAUGCUCAUUGUCCUAUCCUAUUACUGAAUAUUAAGUAGCUUGAAAGGUAUUGUCACUUGCUUGUACUUCAAAACAGGAAAGUUACUUAUCAAAUAUGACAGAUACCUUAAUGUCAUGAAAGAGAAUAGGUUCCAAAAUUUCAAUGGGUUAAACUUUGCUGAAAGGAUCAGGAGAGAAUACAAUUUGAAAGAAUUUAUGCUUCAUAUGCUAUAUCCUCAUAUUGAACUUUGAUGCUAUUUGACAUUAUUUACCAAAUUAGAACCAACAUACUAUUAGCAGAACACAACACUGUCUUUGAGAGGAGCGAGUCACACUCUUAGCAGAGACGCUGCUGCUGGAAAGCUAUAUAACCCUUUACAGCUUCCAAAUAAAACCAGUUGCAGGAGAAAUAGAUUUGAAGUGCACAAUAUUUCUCAUGAACUAAAAAAUUAAAUCUGUUGAAAAAUUAGUGUCCUACUGAACUGCAAAAGUAAAUUCGUAAAAUAAUGCUCCCAUUCAAAAAAAUAGUAAAGAAUAAUUAUUUCUAAUUUCUUCUGCCUCUAAUAGGUGAAUAUUUUGAAGCUAAAAAAAAUUAAAUAAACUAUAGUUUAAUGGAAUUUAUUAAAUGGAAUUUAAUAAUAAUAAUUUAUUAAAUGGAAUUUAAUAAUAAUAAUUUAUUAAAUGGAAUUUAAUAAUAAUAUAUGCCUUAAUUUGACAUUAUAAAAGAACAAAUGGGGCAAAUGAAAGGUAUUUGUGAAAAGAACUUUCUUAAUGCAAUAGCCAUCUUAAGGUCUCUCUACCCUCUGUCGUUGAGAGAGGAGCUUAAGAGUCUCCUUUACAUCGCCAUGCAUGUUAAUUGGUUUCCAGCUGGUCUGUUAUCAAGCAUAUGGAGUGGGGAGGAGUCUGCUUUUUGAGGCUACUUGCAUGCCUGAUUUUAGUAACUAGUAAGACAAUGGAACUAAUAAUGGCUAAGGGUUGAAUCAGAAUUAAAAACUGUACAAUUUCACAUUCUGAACAGCUAAAUUUCAAUUUGAAAUAUCAGUUGAUAUUUCAAAUAUCUAUUUAUUUAAUUUUCGAACAUAUGGACAGCUCUUAUUCACAUGAAUUUGUUUGAAAGAUAAAGGCAGUAUAUAAAAUGAUAGCAAGGUAAUCAAACAACAUCCAAAUACAGUGAAUGAUUUUAGACUUAGGCUUUUAACUCAACAGUUUGGAAAACAUUGCUAUACAUAAUAUUUGGCAUGAAGUUUAGCAUGACUCUUCAAGUUCUAAUACUAUGUAUGAACAAUGUGACACUUAUUUAAUAUGCCUUGAUCCCUGUACUUACUGGAAAAUAAGGAUAAAGUUCUAUGUCACAGGGUCAUCUUGAAAAUCAAAUGAGAUAUUUCAAAUGAUUGUCAAGACAAGGAAUGGAAGUGAAAACAUUUCAUAAAUUGUAAAGUACUAAACCCAUGGUGAUUAUGGAUACAAUUAAUUUUUUUAUUUGUGCCAAAGGUACACACAAUUAGAUUAAUUAUCAUUUUUAAUUCAUAUGACACAUUCAUCAUUGGUCCAGGCUUAGCCCACUUUUAUUUAGUUGGUUGAUUACUUAGUUGGUAUUUUUAAUAAUGUAAUAAAUAUUCAUGAAAUCACCACUCAAAACAGAAGCUAGUGCUAUGAUAACAACUCACAUCUGGCCAUGUAGCCCCUUCUCCCACCUACUGCCUUCCCACUAAAUCCCAUGUUCAUCAUUGCCUCACUUUUUUCUUUAAAUAGUUUGAUUAGUUUGUGUAUUUUUUAUUAUCUUUAAUAAUAAUUUGUUUAUAUUGUUUGGUAAUUAUAUAAAUAAUUAGCCACAAAUAAUGAGUUUUAGUUUUCUUUAUUCUUCCAAUUGCUUUUUCUUAUCUUAUCAUACUAACAGCUGCAGAAAAUGUUGAAAGCCUCAAAACUGAUGAACUAGGUAUCUACCGUAAGAUUCUAGUAAAUUAACAACAAAACAAACCCAUGAAAAGAAGAAAACAAUUUAAAUAGUAUUCAUUGUAGCGACAUCUGCAUGCCUACAUUUCAAAGAUUACAUCCCACUGAGAAAAACUGAAGCAAUCUAAAAAGAACUUCCACAGACCUCCACCACAUCUACCCACCUAAAUUAGUUUUCUGGGGCUGCCAUAACAAAGUACCACAGGCUAAGUGGUUUAAACAAUAGAAAUGUUUUGUCUUGCAUUUCUGCAGGUUAGAAGUUCAAAUCAGGUGUGUGCAGUGUUGGUUUCUUCCAAGGCCUCUCUCCUUGGUUUGCAGAUGGUUGCCUUCUCCCUGUGUCUUCACACAUUCUUUUCUUUUCUUUUUGCCACACAUAUCCCUGGUGUCUCUUUUCUCCUCAUCUUAUAGGUUGUCAGCCAUAUUGGAUUAAUCCCUUACCUUUACAACCUUAUUUAACUCUUUAAAGACCCUAUCUCCAAAUAUAGUCUCAUUCUGAGGAACUGGGAAGAUUAGGCCUUCAACAUCUGAAUUUGAGGUUGGGUGGGAAGAACACAUGAUUCAGCUUAUAACACCGUCUAUGAGUAUAUGUAUCCUAAAUGAUACUAUUAUGGUCCUUCUGCUGUGUAGAUUUGAUCCCACAUUAAAGCACACAAUGUGGCUAUAUUUCAGCUCCCCUGCUCUUCUGAGGUAGACAACCUUGAGCAGAGUACAACCUACACAUCUAUUGGUUAUGGCCCAGUGUGUAACCAAAUAUUCUGCUUCCUACCAGUUACUGUAGAAGGAUACUCUAUGCUCCUAUCUAAAGCUGACUCAUCCACUUGUGCAUUUGAUCUUUAGUCUUUGCCCAUUCAUGGCCACACAGGCAAUUCUUGCCUCUCUAUGCUACAUCAUUGACAUCAUUAAUUAUUUUCCUCUCAAACUGACCAUUUCCUUCAAUAUACAAAUAUGUCGUUAUUUAUCCCACCUUUAAUCACACUUUUAUUCCUAUUUUUUGGCUCCACUUUGUCUUGCACCAACUACCAUCAUUUCUCAGGUCCCUUUAUGGUAAAUCUUUUCAAAAAAAUCUAGAGUGACCAUUUAAAAUUUGUCUUUUUUCAUUCUCUUUUAUUCCACAUUUGACAGACUUGCUCCCCCUAAAUCUACAGAUUGAGAGCAAUCCUCAUCAAAAUUCCAAAAUAAUUUUUUAGAGAAAUAGAACAAAUAAUCCUAAAAUUUAUUUGGAACCAAAAAAAAAAAAAAAUCCCACAUAGCCAAAGACAUUUUGAGAAAGAAGCACAAAGCUGGAUCACUCUCCCUCUCUCCCUGGUUUCAAACUAUAUUAUGAAUUUAUAGGAAUUAAAACUACAUGGUAUUGGCAUAAAAAUAGAUACAUAGAUCAAUGGAACAAAAUAGAAAGCCUAGAAAUAAACCCAUAGAUAUAUAAUCGAUUAAUUUACAACAAAGGAGGCAAGAAUAUACAAGGGGGAAGACAGUUUCUUCUAUAAAUGAUGUGAAAACUAGUCAGCUAUAUGUAAAAUAAUGAAACUGGGCCACUAUAUCACACCAUACACAAAAAUUUUCUCAAAACAGAUUGAAGAUUGAAGAUUUGAAUGUGAUACCUGAAACCACAAAACUUUCAGAGAAAAACAUAGGCAACAAAAUCCUUGAUAUUGUUCUUGGAGAUGAUUUUUUGGACCUAACUCCAAAGGCAAGGGCAACAAAAGCAAAAAUAAACAAAUGAGACCACAUCAAACUAAAAAGCUUCUGCACAGUGAAGGCAACCAUCAACAAAAUAAAAAGGUUACCCUAUUGAAUGGGAGAAGAUAUUUGCAAACCAUACAUCUGAUAAAAGGUUAAUAUCCAAAAUAUAUAAAGAACUCCUGUAACUCAAUAACAAAAAAAUAAUAAUAAUUCAAUUAAAAUACGGACAGAGGAUUUGAAUAGACAUUUUUCCAAAGAAGACUAUACAGAUGAGCAAAAGGCACAUGAAAAGAUGCUCACCAUCACUAAUCAUCAGGGAAAUGCAAAUCAAAACUACAAUGAGGGGAUCCCUGGGUGGCUCAGCGGUUUAGCACCUGCCUUCCAUCCAGGGUGUGAUCCUGGAGUCCUGGGAUCGAGUCCCGCAUCGGGCUCCCUGCAUGGAGCCUGCUUCUCCCUCUGCCUGUGGCUCUGCCUCUCUCUGUCUCUCUCUCUUUCUCAGUCUGUGUCUCUCAUGAAUAAAUAAAUAAAAUAUUUUUAAAAAACUACAACGAGAUAUAACCUCACACCUAUUAGAAUAGCUGUUAUCAAAAAAAACGAGAAAUAAUAAGCAUUGGCAAAAAUAUGGAGAAAACAGAACCCUCACUUACUGUUGGUAGGAAUGUAAGUUGGUGCAGCCGCUAUGGAAAACAGUAUGAAGUUUCCUCAAAAAAUUAAAAAUAAAACUACUUCAGCGCCUGGGUAGUGCAAUUGGUUGAGCAUUCAACUUUUGGUUUGGGCUCAGUUCAUGAGAUAGAGCCCCGUGUAGGGGCUCCUUACUCAGCCCAGAAUCUCCUUGAGAUUCUUUCUCCCUCCCCCUCUCUGCCUGCCCUUCCCACUCAUGCUUUCUCUCUCUCUCAAAUAAAUAAAUAAAUCUUAAAAAAAAAAAAAAAAAAAA
rnacentral:lncRNA from 1 species